ensembl:lncRNA
AUAGGAUCCCAUAACAACACAAAGGCAUGUAUGGGAUCCUAUGGGGAUGCCUUGUGUUGUAUGGGAUCCUAUGGGGAUGCCUUGUGCUGUAUGGGAUCCUAUGGGGAUGCCUUGUGUUGUAUGGGAUCCUAUGGGGAUGCCUUGUGCUGUAUGGGAUCCUAUGGGGAUGCCUUGUGUCGUAUGGGAUCCUAUGGGGAUGUGGGUAAGCCUGGUGUUACUGGUGCUGCUGGUGCCGCGAUUCCGUUGCCGUCUCCCAGUUCCGGUUACCGGGACAGCGGAGCCACCACAGCCAACAUGGAGGACAGGGCCCCUCUGGCGCUGCUGCAGGCGGAGCUGGGGACGCUGCAGGAGGAGCUGGGCGCGCUGCACGCCGGCCACGAGGCGCAAUGGGGGCAGAUGGAGCGCGAUCUGGCCGCAGCCAGGGCUCAGGCGGCCACGGCCACAGCGAGAGCCGAGGAGCUGCAGGAUGAGCUGGCAGAGUGGAGGGAGCGCGUGGACUUGCUGGGCUCCGAGGUGGGGAGGGACAGGGAGGACAACUGGAGGGACGUGGCGGCUGAGGCCAGGGAACAGGCGGGGGCGGCCAAGGAGAAGGUGGCUGCCAUGGGGGAACAGAUGGACGCCAUCAGGAACGAGCUGGGUGCGAUGAAGGGGGAGCUGGCGGCGCUCAGGGAUGGGAUGGAACCGAUGAGGGACAGGACGGAACCAAUGAGGGAUGGGACAGAACCGAUGAGGGAUGAGAUGGACAAGCUGAAGGAUGAGCUGGUUGCAUUGAGGGACGAGGUGGCCGUGCUCAGGGACAGGACGGCCCCGAUGAUGGACGGGACGGCCCCAGUUAUGGAUGGGACGGCACCAAUGAUGGAUGGGAUGCCCCCAAUGAGGAAUGAGGUGGCCAUGCUGAGGGCCGAGGUGGAUGCGCUGAGGGACAAGCUGGCCGUGCUCACGAAUGGGAUGGCCCCGAUGAGGAACGAGGAGGCCCCACUGACGGAUGAGCUGGAUGUGCUGAAGGACGAGCUGGUUGCACUGAGGGAUGGGAUGAUCCCGAUGAGGGAUGAGCUGAACCCAAUGAGGGUCGAUGUGGCCACGCUGAAGGACGAGGUGGAUGCGCUCAAGUACGGGACGGCCCCGAUGAGGGAUGAGGUGGCUUCAUUGAGGGAUGAGCUGGUCGCGUUGAGGAAUGGGAUGGCCCCGAUGAGGGACGAGACGGCACCAAUGAGGGGCGAGGUGGCCCCACUGAGGGAUGAGCUGGUCGCACUGAGGGACGAGGUGGCCGCGCUGAGGGAUGAGCUGGCCCCACUGAAGGACGGGAUGGCCCCAGUGAUGGAUGGGACGGCCUCGAUGAUGGACGGGACGGCCCCAAUGAGGGAUAAGCUGACCGCGUUGUGGGACGAGCUGGCCGUGCUGAGGGAUGAGCUGACCGCACUGAGGGCUGAGGUGGCCACAAGGCACCAAGAGGAGGCCGCCAUGAGGAGGAAGGAGGAGGAUGAGGAGGAAGGACAGGAUGAAGGACGGCAGGAGGAGGAGGCUGCAGUCAGGAAGGAGAUGGCCGCGCUGAGGGCCGAGGUGUCUGCAAUGAGGAACGAGCUGGACUUGCUGAGGGACGGGAUGGCCGAGAGGCACCAAGAGGUGGCAGCCAUGGGGAGGAAGGAGCAGGAUGAGGAGGAAGGACGGGCAGAGGGUCAGACUGAAGGCCGGGAGGUGGAGAUGGCCGCCAUGAGAAAGGAGAUGUCCGCCAUGAGGGAUGCGAUGGCCGCCAUCAGGGACGAGCUGUCCACGUGGCAGCGGGAUGUGACCACGUGGCGGCAGGAGCUGUCCGAGGUGCUGAAGCACUUGUCUGGCCAAAGAAUGGAAGCAACCGCCGCCAACAGGAAAGAGCAGAGAGACGACGGGCAGAAAGAACGGAUGGACGCUGGGACCUCGCACAGCCCAGACCACAACGUCACCUUCCUGCAGCCACCGAGCAGCGACGGGACAGAGGAGGAGGCCGGUGUCUUCGUGUCCCUGCUGCUCCUCACCACCGCGGCCGCCGUGGUGCUGUACCCACACCUGCAGCUGAGCUGAUGGCACCAUCGUGUCACCAUCGUGUCGCCAUCGAGUCACCGUCGUGUCACCAUCGUGUCACCAUCGUGACGCCAUCCAGUCACCAUCGGGUCACCAUCGAGCAACCUCCAUGUCAGCAUCGAGUCACCAUCGUGUCACCAUCGUGACACCAUCACGUCACCAUCGGGUCACCAUCAAGUCACCAUCAUGACACCAUCGAGUCACCAUUGUGUCACCAUUGUGUCACCAUUGUGUCACCAUUGUGUCACCAUCGUGUCGCCAUCCUGUCACCAUCGAGUCACCAUCAUGUCACCAUCGUGAUGCCAUCCUGUCACCAUUGUGUCACCAUUGUGUCAUCAUCGUGUCACCAUCAUGUCACCAUCGUGUCACCAUCGUGUCUCCUCCAUGUCCCCCUGCAGACAAUAUACAAUACACCAUCACUUUCUGCACUGGUGUCAGUCCCAACCCUGUCCCCAUGGGUUCCAUGUGGGGCUGUCACCCAUCGGUGUCCCCAUGUCCCUGUCCCCAUGGUAGUUCCCAUGUCCCCAUAGUGUCCCCAUAGUGUCCCCAUGGCGUCCCCAUGUCCCCAUAGUGUCCCCAUAGUGUCCCCAUGUCCCUUUACCCAUGGUAGUUCCCAUGUCCCCAUAGUGUCCCCAUGUCCCUUUACCCAUGGUAGUUCCCAUGUCCCCAUAGGGUCCCCAUGUCCCUGUCCCCAUGGUAGUUCCCAUGUCCCCAUGGCGUCCCCAUGUCCCCAUGGCGUCCCCAUGUCCCUGUCCCCAUGAGUGCCACCCAUGUCCCUACAGGUGUCCCAAUGUCCCCACUGAUGCCACCCAAGUCCCCAUUGAUGCCACCCAUGUCCCCACAUCCCUAUGGGUGUCCCAGUGUCUCCAUGUGUGUCCCAAUGUCCCUCUGAAUGUCACCCAUGUCCCCAUGGGUGUCCCCAUUUCUCUGUACCCCAUAAGUGCUGCUCACACCCCAUAGAUCCCCAUAUCACACCCCAUAGAUCCCAUAUCACCACUCA